rnacentral:rRNA from 1 species
AUUGAACGCUGGCGGCAUGCUUUACACAUGCAAGUCGAACGGUAACAGGCCUUCGGGUGCUGACGAGUGGCGAACGGGUGAGUAAUGCAUCGGAACGUGCCCAAUCGUGGGGGAUAACGUAGCGAAAGUUACGCUAAUACCGCAUAAGCCCUGAGGGGGAAAGCAGGGGAUCGCAAGACCUUGCGCGAAUGGAGCGGCCGAUGUCAGAUUAGCUAGUUGGUGGGGUAAAGGCCUACCAAGGCGACGAUCUGUAGCGGGUCUGAGAGGAUGAUCCGCCACACUGGGACUGAGACACGGCCCAGACUCCUACGGGAGGCAGCAGUGGGGAAUUUUGGACAAUGGGCGCAAGCCUGAUCCAGCCAUGCCGCGUGCGGGACGAAGGCCUCGGUGUAACCGCUUCAGCGGAAGAAUACGCCAAGGCUAAUAUACCUUGGUGGAUGACGGUACCGGAAGAAGAAGC